AAAAAGACACAUGAGAGCACGAUAAGAGAAGAUACCAGCCAUUUAAUCAGAUUUUAUUUUUGCUGUUUCUACAGAUACAUGGUUGUCAGAACCUAUGCUUUUAUAAAAUGACUAAAUAUAUUUUCAAACAUGAAAAUUUUGUUAUUUUGUUAUGCAGGCAUUGAACUAAAUUAGCAACAACAACAACAAAAAAAGACUUGGCAAAAACUUCAACCUGGUUGCUGGAAAACAUUUAGACAAAGUCAUGUUUUAUGUAAUGGCUACAUAUUUUUAAAUUGUAUUUUCAUCUUAUUAUAGUGUCCAUUUUUGGGAGUCUAGCUAAGAAUUAUGGUAGGACUUGUUGCCUUAGAAAGUUGGUGGCAGAUUUGCAACAAAAAGUUGAUGAGAACUCUAAACCUCCGUCUGAUGAAAGCCACACAAGAUCUGAAUAACAUGAAAACAACAUGCAAAAA